UUCAAUUCCAGUUGAUCCUGCUGGAGGUCACUGCUAUUGGGAUUCGACUAAGACAUGCAAGUCAGAGCAGCAAUGCUCGGCGCACGGCUCAGUAACACGUAGUCAACCUGCCCUUAGGUAAAGGAUAAUCUCGGGAAACUGAGGAUAAUACUUUAUAGGAAGCAGGAUCUGGAACGCCCUGCUUCAUAAAGCUUCGGCGCCUAAGGAUGGGACUGCGCCUGAUUAGGCUGUUGGUGGUGUAAAGGACCACCAAACCUAUGAUCAGUACGGGCCAUGAGAGUGGUAGCCCGGAGAAGGGGACUGAGACAAGGCCCCUAGCCCUACGGGGUGCAGCAGUUGCGGAACCUUUACAAUGUGCGAAAGCGUGAUAAGGGAAUCCCAAGUGCCAUGGUUUAUACUAUGGCUGUGGCGAAGUGCAAAGUACUUCGCAAGAAAGGGGUGGGUAAUACCGGUGCCAGCAGCCGCGGUAAUCCCGGAGCCCCAAGUGGUGACCAUGUUUAUUGGGCCUAAAGCGUUCGUAGCCGGAUUAGUAAGUUCUCGGUGAAAUUGUCCAGCUUAACUGAACGAAUUGCCUUGAAUACUGCUAAUCUAGGGAUUGGGAGAGGAUAGGAGUAUGCCUAGGGGAGGGGUAAAAUCCUUUAAUCCUAGGUGGACUACCGAUGGCGAAGGCACCUAUCUGGAACAAGUCCGACGGUGAGGGACGAAAGUUAGGGUAGCAAACGGGAUUAGAUACCCCGGUAGUCCUAACCGUAAACGCUGACCGCUGGGUGUUGCGCAUUCUUCGCGAUUGCGCAGUGCCGUAGUGAAGACAUUAAGCGGUCCGCCUGGGGAGUACGGUCGCAAGGCUGAAACUUAAAGGAAUUGGCGGGGGAGCACAACAAGGGGGGGAGCCUGCGGUUUAAUUGGAUUCAACGCCGGAAAUCUCACCAAGGGCGACAGCAGUAUGAAGGCCAGAUUAAAGGUCUUGCCUAACACGCUGAGAGGAGGUGCAUGGCCAUCGAAAGUUCGUGUCGUGAGAUGUCCUGUUAAGUCAGGCAACGAACAAGACCCAUGCUAUUAUUUGCUAAGCGAGCUUCGGCUUGUGCGGGCACAAUAAUAGGACUGCAUUCGAUAAGAAUGAGGAAGGUGUGGGCAACGGUAGGUCAGUAUGCCCCAAAUCCCUUGGGCUACACGCGGGCUACAAUGGAUAGGACAAUGGGUUGCUACUCCGAGAGGAGACGCCAAUCCCUUAAACCUAUUCUUAGUUCGGAUUGAGGGUUGAAACUCACCCUCAUGAAGCUGGACUCCCUAGUAACCGUGAUCCAUUCAUUCACGGUGAAUACGUCCCUGCUCCUUGCACACACCGCCUGUCAAGCCACCCGAGUCGGCUCUGGGUGAGAACCAUCCUUCGUGUUUGGUUCGAACCUAAGGUUGAUAAGGAGGGUUAAGUCAACACAAGGUACCCGUAGGGGAACCUGCGGGUGGAUCACCUCCUU
rnacentral:rRNA from 1 species